GAGCUUGCUCUUAUGAAGUUAGCGGCGGACGGGUGAGUAACACGUGGGUAACCUGCCCAUAAGACUGGGAUAACUCCGGGAAACCGGGGCUAAUACCGGAUAAUAUUUUGAACUGCAUGGUUCGAAAUUGAAAGGCGGCUUCGGCUGUCACUUAUGGAUGGACCCGCGUCGCAUUAGCUAGUUGGUGAGGUAACGGCUCACCAAGGCAACGAUGCGUAGCCGACCUGAGAGGGUGAUCGGCCACACUGGGACUGAGACACGGCCCAGACUCCUACGGGAGGCAGCAGUAGGGAAUCUUCCGCAAUGGACGAAAGUCUGACGGAGCAACGCCGCGUGAGUGAUGAAGGCUUUCGGGUCGUAAAACUCUGUUGUUAGGGAAGAACAAGUGCUAGUUGAAUAAGCUGGCACCUUGACGGUACCUAACCAGAAAGCCACGGCUAACUACGUGCCAGCAGCCGCGGUAAUACGUAGGUGGCAAGCGUUAUCCGGAAUUAUUGGGCGUAAAGCGCGCGCAGGUGGUUUCUUAAGUCUGAUGUGAAAGCCCACGGCUCAACCGUGGAGGGUCAUUGGAAACUGGGAGACUUGAGUGCAGAAGAGGAAAGUGGAAUUCCAUGUGUAGCGGUGAAAUGCGUAGAGAUAUGGAGGAACACCAGUGGCGAAGGCGACUUUCUGGUCUGUAACUGACACUGAGGCGCGAAAGCGUG
rnacentral:rRNA from 1 species